GAUGAACGCUGGCGGCGUGCCUAAUACAUGCAAGUCGAGCGAACAGACGAGGAGCUUGCUCCUCUGACGUUAGCGGCGGAGGGGUGAGUAACACGUGGAUAACCUACCUAUAAGACUGGGAUAACUUCGGGAAACCGGAGCUAAUACCGGAUAAUAUAUUGAACCGCAUGGUUCAAUAGUGAAAGACGGUUUUGCUGUCACUUAUAGAUGGAUCCGCGCCGCAUUAGCUAGUUGGUAAGGUAACGGCUUACCAAGGCAACGAUGCGUAGCCGACCUGAGAGGGUGAUCGGCCACACUGGAACUGAGACACGGUCCAGACUCCUACGGGAGGCAGCAGUAGGGAAUCUUCCGCAAUGGGCGAAAGCCUGACGGAGCAACGCCGCGUGAGUGAUGAAGGUCUUCGGAUCGUAAAACUCUGUUAUUAGGGAAGAACAAAUGUGUAAGUAACUAUGCACGUCUUGACGGUACCUAAUCAGAAAGCCACGGCUAACUACGUG
rnacentral:rRNA from 1 species